UACGUAGGGCGCAAGCGUUAUCCGGAAUUAUUGGGCGUAAAGAGCUCGUAGGCGGUUUGUCGCGUCGGCCGUGAAAACUUGGGGCUUAACUCCAAGCUUGCGGUCGAUACGGGCAGACUUGAGUUCGGCAGGGGAGACUGGAAUUCCUGGUGUAGCGGUGAAAUGCGCAGAUAUCAGGAGGAACACCGGUGGCGAAGGCGGGUCUCUGGGCCGACACUGACGCUGAGGAGCGAAAGCGUGGGGAGCGAACAGG
rnacentral:rRNA from 1 species